AAAAAAAAAAAAAAAAAAAAAAAAAAAAGCAGCUGCAUUAAAUCACUGGUGGAUACAGGAACACCAUAAGUCUCUAUUCUUUGCUUAUUCGUAGGUACUCACUUCUUUGUAACGUAGGCCUGCUACAGUACACAAUUGUAUAUAGUAGUCUCGUGUUUAAGAAGAAUCUGCAAACUCUGUACCACUAUUAAAGACAAGAAAAAAAGAUGUCAUGGAAUUGAUUAUCUUGUUGAUAUGAAAAAACAGCUCAUAAUCAUAAACCUAUGCUGUAUUCAAAUCUAAAUAAGUAAAUGUAUUAAAUUUUAAAGGCUUGGGGAUAGGGGCUGGGGGAGCACCUUCUCAGAGGCAAAGAAGAGGGGAGAUAGGGCAAAGAUUCUAGGAGGGGGUACUGGGAGGGGGCAACGUUUGAAAUGUAAAUAAAAUAAUAAGGGCUUAAAAAGUGUUUGUUCAGAUGUGAAAUAAACUUGUGCUUGUGUGCAAUGCAUAGGAAAUAUGUUUGCCUUGUAUCAAAAUGUAUAUUUGUAACAAUAAAACAAAGCUUCUAGUCAAGGCAGAUAUUUUACCUAA
rnacentral:lncRNA from 1 species